rnacentral:rRNA from 1 species
UGAGGGAUAUUGGUCAAUGGGGGGAACCCGUGAACCAGCAACGCCGCGUGAGGGAAGACGGUUUUCGGAUUGUAAACCUCUGUCCUCUGUGAAGAUAAUGACGGUAGCAGAGGAGGAAGCUCCGGCUAACUACGUGCC